rnacentral:rRNA from 1 species
AUUGAACGCUGGCGGCAGGCCUAACACAUGCAAGUCGAACGAGUGGCGGACGGGUGAGUAAUGUCUGGGAAACUGCCCGAUGGAGGGGGAUAACUACUGGAAAAGGUAGCUAAUACCGCAUACCAUCGGAUGUGACCAGAUUGGAUUAGCUUGUAGGUGAGGUAACGGCUCACCUAGGCGCCGAUCCCUCGCUGGUCUGAGAGGCUGACAAGCCACACUUGACCUGAUAAAAGUUCCAGACUCGUACGGGAGGCCGCAGGGGGUAAUAUUGCAUGAUGGGCGCAGGACUGAUGCAGCCAUGCCGCGUGUAUGAUGAAGGCCUUAGGGUUGUAUAGUACUUGCAGCGGGGAGGCGUUACCCGCAGAAGAAGCGCCGGCUAACUCCGUGACAGCAGCCGCGGUAAUAC